AUUGUUAUAGAAAAUUAAAAUUGGCUAUCAGAAAUGUGUGGAUAGAAUUUCAGUUUGUUGGAUUUCGUAUUUUUUUACAAAUCAGAAGUACAAAGAACUAGAUAUGAAGUAGUGGUGAUGAUUAUGGAGGCAAUAUUAAAUAAAAAUGGUGCUUCAUAGGACUGAACCAGUUACAGUACACCAUGAAUCAUAAAUGCAGAUAAUAAAGGCUCAAUCCCAUGAGAACAGGACUUUUCAUUCUCUUAACACUGGGAUUUUCAAAAAGAUCCCAGUGGCAAUUAUUAACCUAAAGAAGAGGGAAGUGUAACAGAAUCGAUGCAUAAUGAAGGGAAAGCAAGAGAAAGGUUUUUUUUUUUUUUUGGUGGAUGACGCAUGGAAUUGUCAAAGAAAUUAUGCAGCUCCUUUUUAUCUGUCUAAAGUUCAAACAGGGACAAGUGAUGGUGGGUAAUAUCAGGGAUGGGACUCAUCACUUGUAAACUGGUAAUGCUUUUAGUAGAACACAAUUUUAAACAGUAAUUUGAAUGUCAUUGUUUGAAAUGUGCUUGUUCAACACAAAUAAAUCUGAAUGAUAACCCCUUAUAUUUGCCCUCUUCCCACAUUUGAACAAAUAUCAUGCAAGUAAAUGAACUUAUGUGAAAUAAACCAUAGGCUUUAGGGAUGUAAUGGUGCUGGUUGACAUUGUAGGUAGAUAUUUUCAAAGUAAGUAGCACUGGAGAAAAGGGGCAUUUUAUUUUAUAUUUGUAAAUAUAACAUGGCAUCGAGCUGUAACCAGUACCAGAUGGCAUCAGGCUUCUUGGGUUCAUCUCAAAGAAGCUUAUGUGUGUAUUGUGCUUAUGCAGCAUUGCUAUACCUAAAUGCCAGGAGGGAAGGGGGAAAUGGUUGUGUGCAUGCACUAAGGCACAUUGCACCAUGAGGAACAAGGAAGAAAAAUGGAUCACCUGUUUUGUAGCUCAUGAGCUUUGAUAUUUAGACAAGGAACAAUAAGACUGGGGACAAAACACUCCCUGAAAACUGGUGCUGAACCUUCCACAAACCCCUUAGUUUAUCAUGCUUCAUUGGUUGAAAACAUAUGGCAUGCAAGCCCUAGUGUAGUGCUAAGGUUUAGACCACAAAAUUGAAGUCAUUUAUUUCAGUUAAUGAUUAGAGUGUAACAGGCUUCUCAUUUGUCCCAAGACGCUAAUCUGAAGCUUUUAACCCUGAAAUGUUUGCUGAGAUCCAUUUAGUAGCCACCAAGUUAAAGUAAGGUGGGUGUAACCAGGAGAACCUGUGGAUCCAAUUUGCAGAGAAGCCUUAGAUGUGAUCCCCACUAUGUUUAAAGGAAUGUAUGCUCAUCUUUUGGGGAUUUUGACCUUAAUGUUUAAUGGAGUGCAUUCUUCCCAAAUAGCAGAUCGUUCAUCCCUAAAAAGACAGUCGUAUUGCUCUUCCAGUUUGCUUACGUCCAUCUUGGUUGGCUGCCGGGAACAGUCUGAGGCUCCUUGCUUGGACGGAUGAGUCACUAAAAAAAUACGGCUCAUAUAUUCAUAAGCGCUCACCAUCUGUUCCCAUAAGAAAGACAAAAUUAGGCAGAAGCAGAACACUUCCCUCAUGGUGCUUGCCAAAAAGCAGAGGAGGCUGGAAACAUGAGAAGUUCACCUGCAAGGCAAUGGAUUCCUUUUCAAUACCUGCUGCAACAGGUGCUGCUCACAGUUUCAAUCCGUGAACAUGUCAACUUUCCUUCCAAAUGCAUCCAACGUGUCCCGAACCUAUGAAUGCAGACUCUAAUGACAAAGAACUGUUCAACUGGAACCGGUGUUGACUUAAGGGCAAACAUACGAAUCAAUCCUUGCCAAAAACGACAGAGAAAUACAAAACCACACUCAAGAAAGUACAAUACACAAAGCUCUGGAAGAUGGCUUUGUACUUUUCUUAACCUAGACUAAAAGAUUUGUCUGCAAUUUGUAUUUAUGUUUUUCACUUAUAUUUUAAUGGUUGGUUUUAUAGCAAAUUCUGUGAUAAUUAUUUUGCUCAUUUUGUCCGGUUAUUUUUUUUAAUUGCCUUUUUUUAGAUACCAAUAAAAAGUAAGGAUUAUGCACUA